rnacentral:rRNA from 1 species
UACAGAGGUGGCAAGCGUUGUUCGGAAUUACUGGGCGUAAAGGGCGCGUAGGUGGCCUUCUUAGUCAGACGUGAAAUCCCCAGGCUUAACCUGGGAACUGCGUCUGAUACUGGAAGGCUCGAGUUCGGGAGAGGGACGUGGAAUUCCAGGUGUAGCGGUGAAAUGCGUAGAUAUCUGGAGGAACACCGGUGGCGAAGGCGACGUCCUGGACCGGCAUUGACGCUGAGGCGCGAAAGCCAGGGGAGCAAACGGG